GAUGAACGCUGGCGGCGUGCUUAACACAUGCAAGUCGAACGGAAAGGCUCCUGCUUGCAGGGGUACUCGAGUGGCGAACGGGUGAGUAACACGUGGGUGAUCUGCCCUGCACUUCGGGAUAAGCCUGGGAAACUGGGUCUAAUACCGGAUAGGACGAUGUGUUGGAUGCCAUUGUGGAAAGUUUUUCGGUGUGGGAUGAACUCGCGGCCUAACAGCUUGUUGGUGGGGUAGUGGCCUACCAAGGCGUCGACGGGUAGCCGGCCUGAGAGGGUGGACGGCCACAUUGGGACUGAGAUACGGCCCAGACUCCUACGGGAGGCAGCAGUGGGGAAUAUUGCACAAUGGGCGCAAGCCUGAUGCAGCGACGCCGCGUGGGGGAUGACGGCCUUCGGGUUGUAAACUCCUUUCGCUAGGGACGAAGCGCAAGUGACGGUACCUGGAGAAGAAGCACCGGCUAACUACGUG
rnacentral:rRNA from 1 species